UGACUUCGUAGCUCAGUUGGUAGAGCAACUGACUCUUAAUCAGUGGGUCGAGGGUUCGAGCCCCUCCGAGGUCACGUU
rnacentral:tRNA from 1 species